UCUUGCCAGGGCACACUUCCUAAAGGAGAGCUGAAAUACUCCACAAGGUAGCUCCUUUGCUCCUUGGCUGCUCUGCUUGUGUUGCCACGAUAAAGGUGCUCCAUGUCUGGCAGAUGGGCAUCCUGUCUCCAUGAUCCUGGGAUUAUUUCAUGAUUGUGCAGCGGAUCCUCUUGGUCCAGUGUAGCAACGUCAAUUGUAGGGUUUCUGAGUCGCAGGAAGUUAUGAAGGACACAACAUGCAUGGGUGAUUUUGAUGACCUUGUCUGGAGUGAGAGGUAAAGUGAUGAGAAGACAGCGGAACUGAGCUGCCAGAAGCCCGAAUGCAUUCUCCACAACUCUUCUGGCUCUUGACAGUCUGUAGUUGUAGACUCUCUGUUGGGGGGUCCUGUUGUGGAGGGGCAG